UGUUUGGAGAGUUUGAUCCUGGCUCAGGACGAACGCUGGCGGCGUGCUUAACACAUGCAAGUCGAGCGGAAAGGCCCUUCGGGGUACUCGAGCGGCGAACGGGUGA
rnacentral:ncRNA from 1 species